rnacentral:lncRNA from 1 species
GAGUGGGGCUAUGUAGAAUAGAUAUUAAUUCGUUUUUGAAAGAUAUGGGUAAAAUAUAAACCCUAGUCCAUGUAAUAGAAAAUUCAGGAGGACGGAUGAGUGAUUUAGUUCUUGAAAGCGGUUGAUUACAAAAUUACGGUUAGAAUCUGGAGAACCAGGGGAGAAGUAUAUAGGAGUUGUAGAAGUUAAUUAGGGUGCCAGACUGUGAUAGUCAUGAGCCGAGGGCCAUCGCUGUGAUAGUUGUGAGCCGGGGUAAGCUUGGUGCUACCUCUUUUCUUUUGUUUGUUAUUUUCUUUGAAUAAGAGGAUUGAGAGUUUCUGAAUAUUGUGAAGUGAAUUAUGGAAUGGAAAUGUGAUUGGUAUUAUUUGAGGAGAAGAAAGAUUGAUUGCUGAAAUCUGAUUGUAGUUCAGCAGAGAGAAUCAGUCUGUGUUUGUGUGAAACACCGUAAUGUGAAUGGCAGUUCUGUGUGAAGAAUUCCGGUGAUGUGAAUGAGGGUAAUUGUGUGCUGAAAGCUGUGAGGGCGCAGUAUUACAGUUGGAGAUUAUGAGGGUGAAUAUAUUGGUGGAAAUAGCAGUUAUUGGUAUGACUGAAUUGCUGUAAGGAAGAGACCGAUAAGGUGAAGGAGGAG